rnacentral:rRNA from 1 species
GACGAACGCUGGCGGCGUGCCUAAUACAUGCAAGUCGAACGCAGUGGGGACGGGUGAGUAACACGUGGGUAACCUCCCAUCAGAGGGGAUAACACUUGGCAACAGGUGCUAAACCGAUACUGAUGGAUGGACCCGCGGGUCAUUGGCUAGUUGGUGGGGUAACGGCUCACCAAGGCCACGAUGCAGAGCCGAGCGGGGAGGGGGAUCGGCCCAACUGGGACUGAAACACGGCCCAGACUCCUACGGGAGGCAGCAGUAGGGAAUCUUCGACAAUGGGCGAAAGUCUGACCGAGCAACGCCGCGUGAGUGAAGAAGGUUUUCGGAUCGUAAAACUCUGUUGUUAGAGAAGCGGUAUCUAACCAGAAAGCCACGGCUAACUACGUGCCAGCAGCCGCGGUAAUUC